rnacentral:rRNA from 1 species
UACGGGGGGGGCAAGCGUUGUUCGGAAUUACUGGGCGUAAAGGGCGCGUAGGCGGCCUGCUAAGUCGGACGUGAAAUCCCUCGGCUCAACCGGGGAACUGCGUCCGAUACUGGCGAGGCUUGAAUCCGGGAGAGGGAUGUGGAAUUCCAGGUGUAGCGGUGAAAUGCGUAGAUAUCAGGAAGAACACCCGUGGCGAAGGCGGCUCUCUGGGACGGUACUGACGCUGAGACGCGAAAGCGUGGGGAGCGAACAGG